ANCGGGGGAUANCUAUUGGAAACGAUAGCUAAUACCGCAUAACAAUGGAUGACACAUGUCAUUUAUUUGAAAGGGGCAAUUGCUCCACUACAAGAUGGACCUGCGUUGUAUUAGCUAGUAGGUGAGGUAACGGCUCACCUAGGCGACGAUACAUAGCCGACCUGAGAGGGUGAUCGGCCACNCUGGGACUGAGACACGGNCCAGACUCCUACGGGAGGCAGCAGUAGGGAAUCUUCGGCAAUGGGGGCAACCCUGACCGAGCAACGCCGCGUGAGUGAAGAAGGUUUUCGGAUCGUAAAGCUCUGUUGUAAGUCAAGAACGAGUGUGAGAGUGGAAAGUUCACACUGUGACGGUAGCUUACCAGAAAGGGACGGCUAACUACGUGCCAGCAGCCGCGGUAAUACGUAGGUCCCGAGCGUUGUCCGGAUUUAUUGGGCGUAAAGCGAGCGCAGGNGGUUUGAUAAGUCUGAAGUUAAAGGCUGUGGCUCAACCAUAGUUCGCUUUGGGAACUGUCAAACUUGAGUGCAGAAGGUGAGAGUGGAAUUCCAUGUGUAGCGGUGAAAUGCNUAGAUAUAUGGAGGAACACCGGUGGCGAAAGCGGCUCUCUGGUCUGUAACUGACGCUGAGGCUCGAAAGCGUGNGGAGCGAACAGGAUUAGAUACCCUGGUAGNUCACGCCGUAAACGAUGAGUGCUANGUGU
rnacentral:rRNA from 1 species